UCCCUGGUGGCUCAGAUGGUAAAGCGUCUGCCUGCAAUGCGGGAGACCCGGGUUCAAUCCCUGGCCCUGGAG
rnacentral:tRNA from 1 species